rnacentral:rRNA from 1 species
GGAGCACAGAGCAAUCUGUGUGACUGCGUACCUUUUGUAUAAUGGGUCAGCGACUUAUAUUCUGUAGCAAGGUUAACCGAAUAGGGGAGCCGAAGGGAAACCGAGUCUUAACUGGGCGUUAAGUUGCAGGGUAUAGACCCGAAACCCGGUGAUCUAGCCAUGGGCAGGUUGAAGGUUGGGUAACACUAACUGGAGGACCGAACCGACUAAUGUUGAAAAAUUAGCGGAUGACUUGUGGCUGGGGGUGAAAGGCCAAUCAAACCGGGAGAUAGCUGGUUCUCCCCGAAAGCUAUUUAGGUAGCGCCUCGUGAAUUCAUCUCCGGGGGUAGAGCACUGUUUCGGCAAGGGGGUCAUCCCGACUUACCAACCCGAUGCAAACUGCGAAUACCGGAGAAUGUUAUCACGGGAGACACACGGCGGGUGCUAACGUCCGUCGUGAAGAGGGAAACAACCCAGACCGCCAGCUAAGGUCCCAAAGUCAUGGUUAAGUGGGAAACGAUGUGGGAAGGCCCAGACAGCCAGGAUGUUGGCUUAGAAGCAGCCAUCAUUUAAAGAAAGCGUAAUAGCUCACUGGUCGAGUCGGCCUGCGCG